rnacentral:rRNA from 1 species
CCUACGGGAGGCAGCAGUGGGGAAUUUUGGACAAUGGGCGCAAGCCUGAUCCAGCCAUGCCGCGUGCGGGAAGAAGGCCUUCGGGUUGUAAACCGCUUUUGUCAGGGAAGAAACGCUCUGGGUUAAUACCCUGGGGUAAUGACGGUACCUGAAGAAUAAGCACCGGCUAACUACGUGCCAGCAGCCGCGGUAAUACGUAGGGUGCGAGCGUUAAUCGGAAUUACUGGGCGUAAAGCGUGCGCAGGCGGCUUUGCAAGACAGAUGUGAAAUCCCCGGGCUCAACCUGGGAACUGCAUUUGUGACUGCAUGGCUAGAGUACGGCAGAGGGGGAUGGAAUUCCGCGUGUAGCAGUGAAAUGCGUAGAUAUGCGGAGGAACACCGAUGGCGAAGGCAAUCCCCUGGGCCUGUACUGACGCUCAUGCACGAAAGCGUGGGGAGCAAACAGGAUUAGAUACCCCAGUAGUC